CCAAAUUCCAGAGCCGGCAGAUGGUCUGUGAGUUGCUACAGAGGCAAUUAACAGUGAGCUGCUAGAUUCUGACAUGCUGGAGCGGGGUAAGGGGUUUUCUCAGCCCUGUGCAGCUGUCUAGGGAGAAGGACAAGAAAGUAUCCAGCGGCAAGAUUAGCUACUCAUCACCCCCGCCCCUGAGUCUCUUCAGCUGAUGCCAGGAGGGACGCAGAGCACAGGAGGAGUUUGAAGUGUGCGUGAGGAUCAGAGAGGAUUACCAGGCCCAUAUAUUUAGGACCACCCUCCCUGUGCCAGGUGCCAGGGGUACCUAGAGGAUGAAGACACUGCCCUCUGAACGAGGAGCUAAGAUGAAACCCACCCAAGGAUGUGAGAGUCCGGAGAAAGACGCAGACGGGACACUUCUGUUGCAUGAACUGAGGAAUGUGUGCCUCUGACCGAGAAGUUUACAGGCCAUGUCCCUGAGGACAGAAGCCACUGAAGAGCUCUCGCCGGAUAGGUGGACAUCCUCAGGGCCGUUAUUAAGGCUCACAUCCUCUGGGUUGAUCUGAAAAGGAAAUAAAACCUCUGAAAAGGAAUACAGCACACUACCUUACUUUCUUCCACCAAACAUUUGUUGAUUAUGUUUUCAGAGGUAAGCCUGCAGGUACAAAGUUGACUGAGACAGUUCUUGUCUUU